AAGAAUUUCUUGAUAUGCAUAUGGACUAGAGUUUAUGAUCUGGGUUCUUCUCCCAAAAGUUUGAUUACAAACCCUUGGCUGUCUGAGCACUCUU
rnacentral:snoRNA from 1 species